rnacentral:tRNA from 1 species
GGGGUUGUAGUAUAGCUUGGUUAGUAUCCGAGGUUUGGGACCUCGUGACCCCGGUUCAAAUCCGGGCAACCCCA